rnacentral:rRNA from 1 species
UCCGUGCCAGCAGCCGCGGUAAUACGGAGGGUGCAAGCGUAAUCGGAAUUACUGGGCGUAAAGCGUGCGUAGGUGGUUUGUUAAGUUAGAUGUGAAAGCCCUGGGCUCAACCUAGGAACUGCAUUUAAAACUGGCAAACUAGAGUAUAGGAGAGGAAAGUGGAAUUUCAGGUGUAGCGGUGAAAUGCGUAGAUAUCUGAAGGAACAUCAAUGGCGAAGGCAGCUUUCUGGACUAAUACUGACACUGAGGUACGAAAGCGUGGGUAGCAAACAGGAUUAGAUACCCUGGUAGUCCACGCCGUAAACGAUGACAACUAGCCGUUGGGAGGAUUUACCUCUUAGUGGCGAAGCUAACGCGUUAAGUUGUCCGCCUGGGGAGUACGGCCGCAAGGUUAAAACUCAAAGGAAUUGACGGGGACCCGCACAAGCGGUGGAGCAUGUGGUUUAAUUCGAUGCAACGCGAAGAACCUUACCUGGUCUUGACAUACACGGAACUUUCCAGAGAUGGAUUGGUGCCUUCGGGAACCGUGAUACAGGUGCUGCAUGGCUGUCGUCAGCUCGUGUCGUGAGAUGUUGGGUUAAGUCCCGUAACGAGCGCAACCCUUAUCCUUAUUUGCCAGCACAUCAUGGUGGGAACUAUAAGGAGACUGCCGGUGAUAAACCGGAGGAAGGCGGGGACGACGUCAAGUCAUCAUGGCCCUUACGACCAGGGCUACACACGUGCUACAAUGGGAAGGACAAAGGGUCGCAACCUCGCGAGAGCAAGCUAAUCUCAUAAACCUUUUCGUAGUCCGGAUCGGAGUCUGCAACUCGACUCCGUGAAGUCGGAAUCGCUAGUAAUCGUAGAUCAGAACGCUACGGUGAAUACGUUCCCGGGUCUUGUACACACCGCCCGUCAUACCAUGGGAGUGGGUUGCACCAGAAGUAGC